rnacentral:rRNA from 1 species
UGAGUAACACGUAUGCAACCUGCCUGCCACAGCCGGAUAAUCGGGAGAAAUUCCGUCUAAUACGGCAUAAUGCAUCGACGGGACAUCCUGUUGGUGCCAAAGGUUGAUUCCGGUGGCGGAUGGGCAUGCGUCGCAUUAGUUAGUUGGCGGUGUAACGGACCACCAAGACGACGAUGCGUAGGGGUUCUGAGAGAAAGGUCCCCCACACUGGUACUGAGACACGGACCAGACUCCUACGGGAGGCAGCAG